UACGGGGGGGGGCAAGCGUUGUGCGGAAUCCCUGGGCAUAAAGCGCGUGUAGGUGGCAUCGUAAGUCGGGUGUGAAAUCCCUCGGCCUAACCGAGGAAUUGCGCCCGAAACUACCUUGCUUGAGGACCAGAGGGGAGCCUGGAAUUCCUGGUGGAGCGGUGAAAUGCGUUGAUAUCAGGAGGAACACCGGCGGCGAAGGCGAGGCUCUGGCUGGUUACUGACACUGAGACGCGAAAGCUAGGGGAGCAAACGGG
rnacentral:rRNA from 1 species